rnacentral:rRNA from 1 species
GUCUAUGACCAUGUCACUCUGAACAAGCCCGUCUGAUCUCAGAAGCUAAGCAGGGUCGGGCCUGGUUACUACUUGGAUGGAAGACCACCAAGGAAAGACCAGGUGCUGUAGGUG